rnacentral:rRNA from 1 species
AAUCAACGCUGGCGGCGUGCCUAACACAUGCAAGUCGAGCGCGAAAGGGGGGUAACUCCCGAGUAGAGCGGCGAACGGGUGAGUAACGCGUGGGUGAUCUACCUCCGAGUGGGGAACUAACCCCGGGAAACUGGGGCUAAUACCGCAUUGACAUCCCUGAGUCACAUCGGGGAUCAAAGCCGGGGACCGCGAGGCCUGGCGUUUGGAGAUGAGCCCGCGUCCGAUUAGCUAGUUGGCGGGGUAAGGCCCACCAAGGCUUCGAUCGGUAGCCGGCCUGAGAGGGCGGACGGCCACACUGGGACUGAGACACGGCCCAGACUCCUACGGGAGGCAGCAGU